rnacentral:rRNA from 1 species
AGGGUUUGAUCAUGGCUCAGAACGUACGCUGGCGGCACGCCUAAUACAUGCAAGUCGAACGAAGUAGCAAUACUUAGUGGCAGACGGGUGAGUAACAUGUGGGUAUCUUCCCUUUGGUGAGGAAUAACACGAGGAAACUUGUGCUAAUACCUCAUAAGUCUUUACGGAGAAAGCUUUAUGCGCCAUUGGAUGAGCCCGCACUUGAUUAGUUUGUUGGUGGGGUAAUGGCCUACCAAGACUGUGAUCAAUAGCUGAUUUGAGAGGAUGAUCAGCCACAUUGGGACUGAGACACGGCCCAAACUCCUACGGGAGGCAGCAGUAGGGAAUCUUGCACAAUGGAGGAAACUCUGAUGCAGCGAUGCCGCGUGAGUGAAGAAGGCCUUUGGGUUGUAAAGCUCUUUCGUCGGGGAAGAAAAUGACUGUACCCGAAUAAGAAGGUCCGGCUAACUUCGUGCCAGCAGCCGCGGUAAUACGAAGGGACCUAGCGUAGUUCGGAAUUACUGGGCUUAAAGAGUUCGUAGGUGGUUAAAAAAGUUGGUGGUGAAAUC